UUAAGCGACUAAGCGUACACGGUGGAUGCCCUGGCAGUCAGAGGCGAUGAAGGACGUGCUAAUCUGCGAAAAGCGUCGGUAAGGUGAUAUGAACCGUUACAGCCGGCGAUGUCCGAAUGGGGAAACCCAGUGCAAUUCGUUGCACUAUCGUUUGAUGAAUACAUAGUCAAACGAGGCGAACCGGGGGAACUGAAACAUCUAAGUACCCCGAGGAAAAGAAAUCAACCGAGAUUCCCCCAGUAGCGGCGAGCGAACGGGGAGCAGCCCGGAGUCUGAAUCAGCUUGUGUGUUAGUGGAAGCGUCUGGAAAGUCGCAGGGUACAGGGUGAUACUCCCGUACACUAAAACACACAGGUUGUGAACUCGAAGAGUAGGGCGGGACACGUGGUAUCCUGUCUGAAUAUGGGGGGACCAUCCUCCAAGGCUAAAUACUCCUGACUGACCGAUAGUGAACCAGUACCGUGAGGGAAAGGCGAAAAGAACCCCGGCGAGGGGAGUGAAAAAGAACCUGAAACCGUGUACGUACAAGCAGUAGGAGCCCACUUGUUGGGUGACUGCGUACCUUUUGUAUAAUGGGUCAGCGACUUAUAUUCUGUAGCAAGGUUAACCGUAUAGGGGAGCCGCAGGGAAACCGAGUCUUAACUGGGCGUUAAGUUGCAGGGUAUAGACCCGAAACCCGGUGAUCUAGCCAUGGGCAGGUUGAAGGUUGGGUAACACUAACUGGAGGACCGAACCGACUAAUGUUGAAAAAUUAGCGGAUGACUUGUGGCUGGGGGUGAAAGGCCAAUCAAACCGGGAGAUAGCUGGUUCUCCCCGAAAGCUAUUUAGGUAGCGCCUCGUGAACUCAUCUUCGGGGGUAGAGCACUGUUUCGGCUAGGGGGUCAUCCCGACUUACCAACCCGAUGCAAACUACGAAUACCGAAGAAUGUUAUCACGGGAGACACACGGCGGGUGCUAACGUCCGUCGUGAAGAGGGAAACAACCCAGACCGCCAGCUAAGGUCCCAAAGUCAUGGUUAAGUGGGAAACGAUGUGGGAAGGCCCAGACAGCCAGGAUGUUGGCUUAGAAGCAGCCAUCAUUUAAAGAAAGCGUAAUAGCUCACUGGUCGAGUCGGCCUGCGCGGAAGAUGUAACGGGGCUAAACCAUGCACCGAAGCUGCGGCAGCGACACUAUGUGUUGUUGGGUAGGGGAGCGUUCUGUAAGCCGUUGAAGGUGGCCUGUGAGGGUUGCUGGAGGUAUCAGAAGUGCGAAUGCUGACAUAAGUAACGAUAAUGCGGGUGAAAAACCCGCACGCCGGAAGACCAAGGGUUCCUGUCCAACGUUAAUCGGGGCAGGGUGAGUCGACCCCUAAGGCGAGGCCGAAAGGCGUAGUCGAUGGGAAACAGGUUAAUAUUCCUGUACUUGGUGUUACUGCGAAGGGGGGACGGAGAAGGCUAUGUUGGCCGGGCGACGGUUGUCCCGGUUUAAGCGUGUAGGUGUGUGUUCCAGGUAAAUCCGGUUCACUUUAACACUGAGGCGUGAUGACGAGGCACUACGGUGCUGAAGUGACAAAUGCCCUGCUUCCAGGAAAAGCCUCUAAGCAUCAGGUAACAUCAAAUCGUACCCCAAACCGACACAGGUGGUCAGGUAGAGAAUACCAAGGCGCUUGAGAGAACUCGGGUGAAGGAACUAGGCAAAAUGGUGCCGUAACUUCGGGAGAAGGCACGCUGAUAUGUAGGUGAAGUGGUUUACCCAUGGAGCUGAAAUCAGUCGAAGAUACCAGCUGGCUGCAACUGUUUAUUAAAAACACAGCACUGUGCAAACACGAAAGUGGACGUAUACGGUGUGACGCCUGCCCGGUGCCGGAAGGUUAAUUGAUGGGGUUAUCCGUAAGGAGAAGCUCUUGAUCGAAGCCCCGGUAAACGGCGGCCGUAACUAUAACGGUCCUAAGGUAGCGAAAUUCCUUGUCGGGUAAGUUCCGACCUGCACGAAUGGCGUAAUGAUGGCCAGGCUGUCUCCACCCGAGACUCAGUGAAAUUGAACUCGCUGUGAAGAUGCAGUGUACCCGCGGCAAGACGGAAAGACCCCGUGAACCUUUACUAUAGCUUGACACUGAACACUGGUCCUUGAUGUGUAGGAUAGGUGGGAGGCUUUGAAGUGUGGACGCCAGUCUGCAUGGAGCCAUCCUUGAAAUACCACCCUUUAAUGGCUGGUGUUCUAACGUGGGCCCGUAAUCCGGGUUGCGGACAGUGUCUGGUGGGUAGUUUGACUGGGGCGGUCUCCUCCUAAAGAGUAACGGAGGAGCACGAAGGUCAGCUAAUCCUGGUCGGACAUCAGGAGGUUAGUGCAAUGGCAUAAGCUGGCUUGACUGCGAGCGUGACGGCGCGAGCAGGUGCGAAAGCAGGUCAUAGUGAUCCGGUGGUUCUGAAUGGAAGGGCCAUCGCUCAACGGAUAAAAGGUACUCCGGGGAUAACAGGCUGAUACCGCCCAAGAGUUCAUAUCGACGGCGGUGUUUGGCACCUCGAUGUCGGCUCAUCACAUCCUGGGGCUGAAGUAGGUCCCAAGGGUAUGGCUGUUCGCCAUUUAAAGUGGUACGCGAGCUGGGUUUAGAACGUCGUGAGACAGUUCGGUCCCUAUCUGCCGUGGGCGCUGGAGAAUUGAGGGGGGCUGCUCCUAGUACGAGAGGACCGGAGUGGACGCAUCACUGGUGUUCGGGUUGUCAUGCCAAUGGCAUUGCCCGGUAGCUAAAUGCGGAAGAGAUAAGUGCUGAAAGCAUCUAAGUACGAAACUUGCCCCGAGAUGAGUUCUCCCUGACUCCUUGAGAGUCCUGAAGGAACGUUGAAGACGACGACGUUGAUAGGCCGGGUGUGUAAGCGCAGCGAUGCGUUGAGCUAACCGGUACUAAUGAACCGUGAGGCUUAACCU
rnacentral:rRNA from 1 species